rnacentral:lncRNA from 1 species
AAAUCCGUACAUAUCCUGUAACACAGUCAUCACCAUCCUGGAAGUAUUUUAUUUCCUGGUAGUGAAUUGGGACUUCUAUCCCAAAAUGGCCACGCAAACGAGUUCUCAAAUUUAAAGCAUCAUUAUCACUGAGAAUCCUAAGGCUAGCAGGCAAACCAACCAUUGCCAUACUUGGACACAUUUUAUUUCUAUAUACAAGGUAUUAUCACUGAGAAUCCUAAGGCUAGCAGGCAAACCAACCAUUGCCAUACUUGGACACAUGUCAGGAGGGCAACCAAGCGCUGUUCCCCAUGCAGUGGCCAACAUUUGCCCCAUUUCAACCACAGCAUUAUGAUUCCUCAUCCUA